GCGCUCGCUUUGGUAACACAUAUACUAAAAUUGGAACGAUACAGAGAAGAUUUAGCAUGGCCCCUGCACAAGGAUGACAAUCAAAUCCGUGAAGCGUUCCGUAUUUUU